UCUCCGUUGGUGAACCAGCGGAGGGAUCAUUACAGGACUCGCAAGACUCCUUCACCCUGUGAACCUCACUACAAGCACGUUGCUUCGGCGGGUGUCCCGGCGGGGGUUUUCCCUCGCCGGGGCGCACAGCCCGCCGGCAGCCUACUAUACUCUGUCUCUUUGCGUUGGCACCUCGAGAAAAAACAAACAAGUUAAAACUUUCAACAACGGAUCUCUUGGUUCUG
rnacentral:misc_RNA from 1 species